rnacentral:rRNA from 1 species
UACGUAGGGGGCAAGCGUUUGUCCGGAAUUAUUGGGCGUAAAGAGCGCUAGGCGGUCCGGUAAGUCGGCUGUGAAAGCAAGGGCUCAACCCCUUGAAAGCCGGCCGAUACUGUCGGACUAGAGUCCGGAAGAGGCGAGUGGAAUUCCCGGUGUAGCGGUGAAAUGCGCAGAUAUCGGGAGGAACACCAAAUGGCGAAGGCAGUG